CGACAAGUAUUUUUACAGGUUGUGGCAUUAUUUAUCGCGAUAUGAUAGAUAGCUUUAUCGUUUUGUCAACAAUUGUAUAAAAUGCUUCGGUUUGGAGUAAUUAUCCAAGUCGGUAACAAAUUAAGACAAAAGUGGUUGAGAGUGCUCGAAAUAUUGAAACAUUUAAGAGUUCGGCCGUAUUAUUUGAGAGGGGUUGUCGCGCAUUGAAAGUCUUUGAUUGUUUGAAGUCAAUUGUCUGGUGAGAGACACUUGUGUUACCCCUUGUGGGGCAGCUGAUACAUUAAGUAGUCGCAAAAUAUUAAAUAUUCGCACAAUAAGUGAGUGGGAAAAUAGUGGAAAGCAACUUUUAAAUACAAUUCCGACUGACAAUGCGUAAGAAGGAAGCAAUUUUCUUGUGGUUGGUUACACACUCUAAUACAGGUAUUGGUCGGCAACAACAAAUAAAAUUUCAAACGGGCUCUAGUGUAACUAAAUACACAUCAAACAGGCCCGCCAGCGUAAUCUUUGCGGCCAAGUCACAAUUAUCAAUUUCGUGUUUAGCAAGAUAGAAAAAUUUGAUUUGUUGGGGUCGCUAAACCGUCGGUUUGACAUGGCAAAAACCAAACCGCAGUUUCAACUACAGCACUGUUAAAAACUUGGCUUGCCCGAGGCGCGAAGGGACCGAAAGCUGGAUAAAUUCACAAGCCAUUCAACAGUCAGUUAUUCAAUAGAUAAUCCCGACCAGAUCAUACUCCCUGCUUUGGCCCUUGGCCAGAUUUACGAGGGUCUUCGAAAUUAUUACACCGGGAAAAUUAAAAGAGUGCACUGAUUUUUGUGUCAACACCUCCAGGCCCUCACCAAAAUUCGCCAUCCACUCAAUUCAGACAUUUUCGUGCUCUCAAACGGCCAGUCUAAUGAACGGUUUUAGUGACAUCCUGGAUAAUGUAUGGCUUAAUAAUGCAGUGUUGAAAAGGCAGGUCACUUUGUACCAAACUUCAUUAUUUGAUCCUGUCAUUGGCGGUUCUCUCACCGAGAGAUUUCAACAGGACUCGGGUCACGUUAGCCAGAGCUUGGCACUGAUUUCAAAGAGAUUUUUAGGUGGUAAGGGGGUGAGAUAGCACAGCUGUGUGUCCUAAGCCGGCUAUUGAGUCUAUGUGUGCAUAUGUCAGCCCGGUUUUGCGGACGGCGUAUGCUAUGAAUGCAUUGUUAUGCGAUUUGUUGCGAUUUCAUUCCUAUUUAUUUUGUAAAUAAUGCGAAUGGAUGGCAUUUAGCUAAACGUUGAUGUCACGGUUUUUGUACGACUUGGACCAGACCUUGGGCGUCUCAAGAUAAACCAACAAAUACAAUUUGCUUCAAGUUUUUUUAUAUGGGAUUUGAGAUUAAGAACAACUGUUACUUUCAGUAUCGAAUUUAUUAAUACAUUAUGGCUUCAAAAUUUGUACAAAAGUUUGCUGUAAACGAUCGCGUAAUAAAAAAUCGCUCAUUUAGUUGUAAUCCUCGUAGACCUCGUUGUGUGUGGCAUAGGGUGGCCGAGUCCUGCGCUGAGGAUAAUUUUCGACCGCGCUGUACUGGGAGCUGUACAGCGGUCUGGAGGCUGGUCUGGUUUGGGGUCUAGUUUGGGGCACGUAUUUGGGUUCCACAUACUGAGGCUGUGGGGCUUCCUGGUACUGGGGCUGUCUGUAGGCUUCGUAAUCCUGUUGGUGUCGCUCAUAGGACUUGGGGGUCGGUUGGUACUGUUUUUGGGGUUGGGGCUGGUACUUUUGGGGUUCGUAUUGGCCAUUGUCUGUCGGUUCAUUAUCGUAGGUGUAGCCCGGGGCCACUCUCGAUCCCGCAUUGUAAUUGUAGUUAACUUUCAAUCCCGUGGGGUCCGUGUACGAAAAUCUGCCAUGGAUGACUCCGUUCGAGUCACCUUUGGCUGCAUGGGCUAUGCCAUCCUCGGUGCGGUAGAGAAAACCAAAAGUACCAUCGACUUUGGGAAGGUCGCGGCUGUCUUGGAGAAUUGUGGGGUUAAAUGACUGAGCUGCAACGAGGUGGAGAAACAAUGCACUGACGAAGGC